rnacentral:rRNA from 1 species
UACGGGGGGGGCAAGCGUUGUUCGGAAUUACUGGGCGUAAAGGGUUUGUAGGUGGCUCGCUAAGUCAGACGUGAAAUCCCUCAGCUUAACUGGGGAACUGCGUCUGAGACUGGCGAGCUUGAGUGCAGGAGAGGAACGCGGAAUUCCAGGUGUAGCGGUGAAAUGCGUAGAUAUGACAUAGAACACCAAUUGCGAAGGCAGCUCACUACGGAUAUAUUGACACUGAGGCACGAAAGCGUGGGGAUCAAACAGG